rnacentral:tRNA from 1 species
AAGACCUGUAAUACUCUAGAAUACAUCACCUGAUUGCAACUCAGACACUUUAAUUAAGCUAAAAUCUUC